rnacentral:rRNA from 1 species
GAUGAACGCUGGCGGCGUGCCUAAUACAUGCAAGUCGAGCGAACAGACGAGGAGCUUGCUCCUCUGACGUUAGCGGCGGACGGGUGAGUAACACGUGGAUAACCUACCUAUAAGACUGGGAUAACUUCGGGAAACCGGAGCUAAUACCGGAUAAUAUAUUGAACCGCAUGGUUCAAUAGUGAAAGACGGUUUUGCUGUCACUUAUAGCUGGAUCCGCGCCGCAUUAGCUAGUUGGUAAGGUAACGGCUUACCAAGGCGACGAUGCGUAGCCGACCUGAGAGGGUGAUCGGCCACACUGGAACUGAGACACGGUCCAGACUCCUACGGGAGGCAGCAGUAGGGAAUCUUCCGCAAUGGGCGAGAGCCUGACGGAGCAACGCCGCGUGAGUGAUGAAGGUCUUCGGAUCGUAAAACUCUGUUAUUAGGGAAGAACAAAUGUGUAAGUAACUAUGCACGUCUUGACGGUACCUAAUCAGAAAGCCACGGCUAACUACGUG